CAAAAAACCGUGCGGCAAUGGGAAGACGUGAUGCGGAGUGAAGUUUAGUAAUGAAGUCCGUGAGCUGUGCGUCAAGAAAAGCCGCUAUUGUUCAUACCAUACCCGUACCGUAAACCGACACAGGUGGAUGAGGAGAGAAUCCUAAGGCCGGCGGAAGAAGCAUUGUCAAGGAACUCGGCAAAAUGACCCCGUAACUUCGGGAGAAGGGGUGCCUGCGAGAGCAGGCCGCAGAGAAUAGGCUCAAGCAACUGUUUAGCAAAAACACAGGUCUAUGCGAAACCGAAAGGUGAGGUAUAUGGGCUGACGCCUGCCCGGUGCUGGAAGGUUAAGAGGAGAGGUUAGCGCAAGCGAAGCUUUGAAUUUAAGCCCCAGUAAACGGCGGCCGUAACAAUAACGGUCCUAAGGUAGCGAAAUUCCUUGUCGGGUAAGUUCCGACCCGCACGAAAGGCGUAAUGAUUUGAGCGCUGUCUCGACAAUGCAUCCGGUGAAAUUGAAGUACCAGUGAAGAUGCUGGUUACCUGCGCCAGGACGGAAAGACCCCAUGGAGCUUUACUCCAGUUUGGUACUGGGAUCCGGUACUGCAUGUACAGGAUAGGUGGGAGGCUAUGAAUCGGUAACGCCAGUUGCCGAGGAGCCGCUGUUGGGAUACCACCCUUGCAGUAUUGGGCUUCUAACCAGCCGCCGUGACCCGGCGGUGGGACAAUGCCAGACGGGGAGUUUGACUGGGGCGGUCGCCUCCGAAAGGGUAUCGGAGGCGCCCAAAGGUUCCCUCAGGAUGGACGGAAACCAUCCAAAGAGUGCAAAGGCAGAAGGGAGCUUGACUGCGACACCGACGGGUGGAGCAGGUACGAAAGUAGGGCUUAGUGAUCCGGUGGUAUUAAGUGGGAAUGCCAUCGCUCAACGGAUAAAAGCUACCCUGGGAUAACAGGCUUAUCACUCCCAAGAGUUCACAUCGACGGAGUGGUUUGGCACCUCGAUGUCGGCUCAUCGCAUCCUGGGGCUGUAGUAGGUCCCAAGGGUUGGGCUGUUCGCCCAUUAAAGCGGUACGCGAGCUGGGUUCAGAACGUCGUGAGACAGUUCGGUCCCUAUCCGGCGUGGGCGUAGGAUAUCUGAGAGGAGCUGUCCUUAGUACGAGAGGACCGGGAUGGACGGGCCGCUGGUGCACCGGUUAGACUGCCAAGUCUAUAGCCGGGUAGCCAAGCCCGGAAGGGAUAAACGCUGAAGGCAUCUAAGCGUGAAGCCCCCCUCAAGAUGAGAUAUCCCAUCCGAAAGGAGUAAACCCCCUUGAAGACGACGAGGUCGAUAGGGCAGGGGUGGAAGUGUGGUAACACAUGGAGCUGACUGCUACUAAUAGGGUGAGGGCUUGACCG
rnacentral:rRNA from 1 species